UACGUAGGGUGCAAGCGUUAAUCGGAAUUACUGGGCGUAAAGCGUGCGCAGGCGGCUUUGCAAGACAGAUGUGAAAUCCCCCGGGCUCAACCUGGGAACUGCAUUUGUGACUGCAUGGCUGGAGUGCGGCAGAGGGGGAUGGAAUUCCGCGUGUAGCAGUGAAAUGCGUAGAUAUGCGGAGGAACACCGAUGGCGAAGGCAAUCCCCUGGGCCUGCACUGACGCUCAUGCACGAAAGCGUGGGGAGCAAACAG
rnacentral:rRNA from 1 species